UACGAAGGGGGCUAGCGUUGCUCGGAAUCACUGGGCGUAAAGCGCACGUAGGCGGAUCUUUAAGUCAGGGGUGAAAUCCUGGAGCUCAACUCCAGAACUGCCUUUGAUACUGGGGAUCUCGAGUCCGGGAGAGGUGAGUGGAACUCCGAGUGUAGAGGUGAAAUUCGUAGAUAUUCGGAAGAACACCAGUGGCGAAGGCGGCUCACUGGCUCGAUACUGACGCUGAGGUGCGAAAGCGUGGGGAGCAAACAGG
rnacentral:rRNA from 1 species